AAUUUAGCCAUAAUGUUGAUGUCAUGUGGUCUGAUCAUUUAAAAAAAUUGUUAUAAAUAAACAACAUCUAUACACCAAAAGGCAGUUGUAGAUUCAUUUUUUUGGAAAAUAAGUAACCAGUUGAGGGCUUCAGAGCUUUUGCGCCAGGCAGCAAAUCUUUUGGUUUCGGAAAAUUCAUCAACUACUUGUUCUGAAUCACAAUCAACUCCAUCAGUGACAGCAGCAACAUCUAUUGGUUCAACAACAGUUAACAGAAACCACUCUGCAGAGCUUCGUGCUGCCACUAGGGCACUGUUUGCCCCUUACAACAGAGGGACCCGCAGGCGAGGAAAUGCAACAGGGCCACCAGUAACAUAUUGGACUCAUAGAUUUUGUCUAUUGUCAAAGUGUUUGCAGGAUACAGUUCCUUCACGGGAAGAAAAAGACCUUCUGUUUCAGGCAGGUGUUGGUGAGAAGAAAUUGACCAUCAUCAAAACAUACGAUGCAGAUUUGUUUAAACAAAACCUAGAGGAGGCAUUUCCACCCAUUAUCAAUUGUGGUGGAUUUGAAUUACUUAGAACUUGUGGGAACUCCAAAAUACACAUUGCAGCCAUUGCCAAUUCCCCCAGGAGGG